rnacentral:misc_RNA from 1 species
GAUGAAGAACGUAGCAAAAUGCGAUAAGUACUGUGAAUUGCAGAAUUCAGUGAAUCAUCGAAUCUUUGAACGCACAUUGCGCCCGCUGGUAUUCCGGCGGGCAUGCCUGUUCGAGCGUCAUUUCAACCCUCAAGCCCCCGGGUUUGGUGUUGGGGAUCGGCUCUGCCCUUCUGGGCGGUGCCGCCCCCGAAAUACAUUGGCGGUCUCGCUGCAGCCUCCAUUGCGUAGUAGCUAACACCUCGCAACUGGAACGCGGCGCGGCCAUGCCGUAAAACCCCAACUUCUGAAUGUUGACCUCGGAUCAGGUAGGAAUACCCGCUGAACUUAAGCAUAUCAAUAAGCGGAGGA